UCCGGCUUAUCACCGGCAGUCCCCUUAGAGUGCCCAACUAAAUGAUGGCAACUAAGGGCGAGGGUUGCGCUCGUUGCGGGACUUAACCCAACAUCUCACGACACGAGCUGACGACAGCCAUGCAGCACCUGUGUCCACGCCCCUUGCGGGGAGGAAUCCAUCUCUGGAAGCCGUCGUGGCAUGUCAAGGGCUGGUAAGGUGGGGAUGACGUUUACGUGCACUU
rnacentral:misc_RNA from 1 species